UGUCAGGUAUAUCCCCUUAGAUGCAGACCCCACUGGGUGGGGUCAGCUUAUGGCUUUUCUUGGGUCCAGGUGUUGCCUGCCAGAAGCUGUGUGGUCAGUCUGUUUUGGGUCCCCCCCCACCCCGAAACAGUCGGGACCUGACUUUCUAAGCACCUGCAGCUGCACACUUGCUGUGGUCUUUGAUGCAUGAACCAAACCUUAAACUGCUAGCUGGCAGCUAAGCCCUCCCCCCCAUGGCCACAUGGCUCCACCUAGCACAUGGCCUGGCAGCCGGCUCCACCCACUUUGGUGAGAGUGGAGCCCCACGCCUGUGGGCCAUGGCCUGGAGCCGGUCUAUCUGCCCUAGCUUGGGAGGUUUCUGGGUCCACGCUGCAGGAGGCAUUUCUACUCAAUCUCCCGCUACCCAGUAGUGCACAGCCUGCUGCUCAUAAACCCCAUUCAAGUGCUUGGUAGCAGGGCCUCUUAAAAGAGCUGUGCCUCUGUAUGCCGUGAGCACCUAGCCUCCUUGCAGCUUUUCCCAGCCUUUUCAGGCCCUGUGCAGAUUUACCUGCUGGACGCUGGGUGACAUUUGCAGCAGUGCUUUUUUGUUGGGACUGCCAGUCUGCAAUAAUGGCAUAGAAGCUUAUUAUUAAUUAUGAAAGCUUGGCCUUUAGCUUAGGCUCGUCUCAACUAGCUUCUAUAACUUAAUUAACCCGUUUAUAUUAAUCUAUGUCCUGCCACAUGGCAUUGCCUCUCUUCCACCUCACACCUCCUGUUUCCUUUCUGUGGCUGUUGACUCCGCCUUUCUUCUUCCUGGAGUUCUGUCUCUGCCCGGAAGUCCCGCCUUAUACCUCCUGCCUAACUUUUGGCCAUUCAGCUUUUUAUUACACCAAUCAUAGCAAUACAUCUUCACACAGUUUACAGAUAUCCCACAACAUUCCUCAUCCCCAGAAGACACUACCUCACUUGCCACUUCCAGAAGGUUCCAUACUCUGCAGGCCUGGUGGUGUCCACCAUCUCCGUAUCCACGGUAUCGUUGUUCCAAUUCCUCUUCCAGGUUAGGGUGAUCUCAGCAGGUGGAAGCCCAGGGCCUAGCAUUUCAGGGUGACAUUCCCUCCAGGUCUGACCUGAUUGGUGGGUCUUAUGUGUUGUAGGGAGUCUGAGGAGAAGAAAUGGGAAAUUUGGACAUUUGACAUUCUUCCUGGGGUUUCAGCUUCUGUGAUCAUCACUGGAAUGAGUGGGGUAUUUGGGAUAGAGGAGGAUACAGCCUCUAUACAGUACAGCAGCCUACAUUCAUGACCUAAACAAUCUAUUCCUUGGAAAGUUUCUGAAUCCUCGUUAGCCAGCACAGAGCAGGAGGCUCUGGGUCUCCCUCUAGGAAAAACAGACUUCUGGUUCUGACUGGGUGGGAUCUGAGAGACUCCACCACAGCGGAGCCAGAACUACAAAGGUAUUGUGUUUGGGUAGAGAUCAGGCCCUAGGGAGGUUAGCUGCAGAUUGAAGGAAACUGCUGGUUGGUAGACAGAUUUUGAACUUUCUUCUGGGAAGGGCAAGUCCUCUGGAGAGUCCUUCUCUUGUGCUGAAUCAGAAAACCCUGGAGCCCUCUCCAACUUCGAUGCAGGAUGGAACCAGUCUUCAAGGUGAUCCCAACAUUUUUCCUCCUUAGGAGAUGUGAGCCCCAGUAAGAGAAAAUGGAGGAAUUUCCUCGUGGCCCCUCUUACCUGUGAGCAGAAACAUCUCAUACCCAGUGCCCGGCGGUGUGUGGAGCAUCUCCAUGCACCUUCUGCAGGACGGGACGCUAUGCACCAUGGGUGGAUCAGCAGGAGCCAGAGUACUGGGAGUGGAGGACACAGCAGGCCCUGAGAGAAACCAAAGUGUUCAUAGAAAGGCUGAAGAAAAUGCUCGAUAUCUACAACCAUAGUGCAACUGUCACCAACAAUUCGAAUUAAACUUCAACCACCACGAUUACAUCACCCUGAACGAGGACCUCAGCACUUGGACCUCCGUUGGCAAGGCAGCUGAGAUGCUCAGGCUUGAGUGGGAGGAGUCAGAUUUUUCACAAGUGGUGAAGACUUACCUGGAGAAGCAAUGUGUGCAGUUGCUCCUUCACAAGUGGACUAUGGGAAGGAGACUUUGCUGAGAACAGGUAAGGACAAAUACUGCCCAUCUGCUCUGAGACUGGAGCCCCUGUUCCCUGAGGAUUCCUCCUCAGCAGGGAGAAGCUGGAAUAAGAACUCAGUCUUGAAUCAAAGCGGGAAGUGUCUCAUGGGUUUUCUAAUUCAAUAAGAGAGGGACUCUCUCAGGGCUAAGCCUUCUGUCAGGACACUUCAGUUUUCCAAUUAAACAGCAAUUCCCUUCCACUUGCUUUGUGGACCACGAGCUCUCUCAGGCCUGUUUCCUGUCCAUGCACUUUGGAGGUCUGAGCCCAGUGUUGCUGAGUCUCCAUCCAGUCAGAACCAGAAGUCCGUAUUCCUAGAGUGAGAUCCAGAGUCUCUUGCUCUGUGCUGGCUCAAGCUGAAUCUGGAACUUUCCAAGGAAUAGUUUACCCCAUUUUUUAUCCUGAGAUUAUGCUGAUGGGUGGGGUCUGUACAACUCCUUCAAGCCAACUGUUCCAUCCAUUAAA